GACAGAGGGGGCAAGCGUUGCUCGGAAUCACUGGGCGUAAAGGGCGCGUAGGCGGGAUGGCAAGUCAGUCGUGAAAUCUCUCGGCUCAACCGAGAAACGUCGGCUGAUACUGCCGUUCUUGAGGGAUGCAGAGGAGACUGGAAUUCCCGGUGUAGCGGUGAAAUGUGUAGAGAUCGGGAGGAACACCAGUGGCGAAGGCGAGUCUCUGGGAUGAUGCUGACGCUGAGGCGCGAAAGCCAGGGGAGCAAACGGG
rnacentral:rRNA from 1 species